AUUGAACGCUGGCGGCAGGCCUAACACAUGCAAGUCGAGCGGCAGCGGGAAAGUAGCUUGCUACUUUUGCCGGCGAGCGGCGGACGGGUGAGUAAUGCCUGGGAAAUUGCCCAGUCGAGGGGGAUAACAGUUGGAAACGACUGCUAAUACCGCAUACGCCCUACGGGGGAAAGCAGGGGACCUUCGGGCCUUGCGCGAUUGGAUAUGCCCAGGGGGGAUUAGCUAGUUGGUGAGGUAAUGGCUCACCAAGGCGACGAUCCCUAGCUGGUCUGAGAGGAUGAUCAGCCACACUGGAGCUGAGACACGGUCCAGACUCCUACGGGAGGCAGCAGUGGGGAAUAUUGCACAAUGGGGGAAACCCUGAUGCAGCCAUGCCGCGUGUGUGAAGAAGGCCUUCGGGUUGUAAAGCACUUUCAGCGAGGAAGAAAGGUUGAUGCCUAAUACGUAUCAACUGUGACGUUACUCGCAGAAGAAGCACCGGCUAACUCCGUGCCAGCAGCCGCAGUAAUAC
rnacentral:rRNA from 1 species